rnacentral:rRNA from 1 species
UGGGGAAUAUUGGACAAUGGGGGCAACCCUGAUCCAGCCAUGCCGCGUGUGUGAAGAAGGCCUUUUGGUUGUAAAGCACUUUAAGCAGUGAAGAAGACUCCAUGGUUAAUACCCAUGGACGAUGACAUUAGCUGCAGAAUAAGCACCGGCUAACUCUGUGCCAGCAGCCGCGGUAAUACAGAGGGUGCAAGCGUUAAUCGGAAUUACUGGGCGUAAAGCGAGCGUAGGUGGCUUGAUAAGUCAGAUGUGAAAGCCCCGGGCUUAACCUGGGAACGGGAUCUGAUACUGUUAGGCUAGAGUAGGUGAGAGGAAGGUAGAAUUCCAGGUGUAGCGGUGAAAUGCGUAGAGAUCUGGAAGAAUACCGAUGGCGAAGGCAGCCUUCUGGCAUCAUACUGACACUGAGGUUCGAAAGCGUGGGUAGCAAACA